CCUACGGGGGGCUGCAGUGGGGAAUUUUGGACAAUGGGGGCAACCCUGAUCCAGCCAUUCCGCGUGAGUGAAGAAGGCCUUCGGGUUGUAAAGCUCUUUUGUCCGGAGCGAAACGGGCGGCCCUAAUACGGUCGUCUACUGACGGUACCGGAAGAAUAAGCACCGGCUAACUACGUGCCAGCAGCCGCGGUAAUACGUAGGGUGCGAGCUGGAAUCGAAAUUACUGGGCGGGGUUCGUGAGCCGGGGUGUGGAAUCCCCGGGCUCAACCUGGGAAUGGCAUUUGGGACUGCAAGGCUGGAGUGUGGCAGAGGGGACUAGAAUUCCUGGUGUAGCAGUGAAAUGCGUAGAUAUCAGGAGGAAUACCGAUGGCGAAGGCAGGUCCCUGGGUUAACACUGACGCUCAUGCACGAAAGCGUGGGGAGCAAACAGGAUUAGAUACCCUUGUAGUC
rnacentral:rRNA from 1 species